CAUUGGCUAGCUCUAUUGGUAGAGCACAAGACUUUUAAUCUCGGAGUUGUGGGUUUGUGCCCCAUGUUGAAGG